rnacentral:rRNA from 1 species
UGCAUGGUUGUCGUCAGCUCGUGCCGUGAGGUGUCGGGUUAAGUCCCAUAACGAGCGCAACCCCUACCCUUAGUUGCCAUCAGGUUAAGCUGGGGACUCUAAAGGAACUGCCUACGCAAGUAGUGAGGAAGGCGGGGAGUGACGUCAAAUCAGCACGGCCCUUACGUCCAGGGCUACACACGUGCUACAAUGGCCGAUACAGAGGGCAGCUACCUGGUGACAGGAUGCAAAUCUCCAAAGUCGGUCUCAGUUCGGAUCGGAGUCUGCAACCCGACUCCGUGAAGUUGGAUUCGCUAGUAAUCGCGCAUCAGCCAUGGCGCGGUGAAUACGUUCCCGGGCCUU